UAAGACGAACCGUGCGAACGUUGUUCGGAAUCACUGGGCUUAAAGGGCGCGUAGGCGGAUUUGCAAGUCUGCGGUGAAAGCCUCCAGCUUAACUGGAGAAGUGCCGUGGAUACUGCGGAUCUCGAGGAGGGUAGGGGCAUCUGGAACGUUGGGUGGAGCGGUGAAAUGCGUUGAUAUCCAACGGAACUCCGGUGGCGAAGGCGAGGUGCUGGACCCUUUCUGACGCUGAUGCGCGAAAGCCAGGGGAGCGAACGGGAUUAGAUACCCCGGUAGUCCUGGCCCUAAACGUUGAGAACUAGGUAGUGGACUUAACAUGGGUUCACUGUCGAAGCAAAAGUGCUAAGUUCUCCGCCUGGGGAGUAUGGUCGCAAGGCUG
rnacentral:rRNA from 1 species